rnacentral:rRNA from 1 species
GAGGUUAAGCGACUAAGCGUACACGGUGGAUGCCCUGGCAGUCAGAGGCGAUGAAGGACGUGCUAAUCUGCGAUAAGCGCCGGUAAGGUGAUAUGAACCGUUAUAACCGGCGAUUUCCGAAUGGGGAAACCCAGUGUGACUCGUCACACUAUCAUUAACUGAAUCCAUAGGUUAAUGAGGCGAACCGGGGGAACUGAAACAUCUAAGUACCCCGAGGAAAAGAAAUCAACCGAGAUUCCCCCAGUAGCGGCGAGCGAACGGGGAGGAGCCCAGAGCCUGAAUCAGCAUGUGUGUUAGUGGAAGCGUCUGGAAAGGCGCGCGAUACAGGGUGACAGCCCCGUACACAAAAGCGCAUGUGCUGUGAGCUCGAUGAGUAGGGCGGGACACGUGGUAUCCUGUCUGAAUAUGGGGGGACCAUCCUCCAAGGCUAAAUACUCCUGACUGACCGAUAGUGAACCAGUACCGUGAGGGAAAGGCGAAAAGAACCCCGGCGAGGGGAGUGAAAAAGAACCUGAAACCGUGUACGUACAAGCAGUGGGAGCACCCUUUGGGGUGUGACUGCGUACCUUUUGUAUAAUGGGUCAGCGACUUAUAUUCUGUAGCAAGGUUAACCGAAUAGGGGAGCCGGAGGGAAACCGAGUCUUAACCGGGCGUUAAGUUGCAGGGUAUAGACCCGAAACCCGGUGAUCUAGCCAUGGGCAGGUUGAAGGUUGGGUAACACUAACUGGAGGACCGAACCGACUAAUGUUGAAAAAUUAGCGGAUGACCUGUGGCUGGGGGUGAAAGGCCAAUCAAACCGGGAGAUAGCUGGUUCUCCCCGAAAGCUAUUUAGGUAGCGCCUCGUGAACUCAUCUCCGGGGGUAGAGCACUGUUUCGGCUAGGGGGCCAUCCCGGCUUACCAACCCGAUGCAAACUGCGAAUACCGGAGAAUGUUAUCACGGGAGACACACGGCGGGUGCUAACGUCCGUCGUGAAGAGGGAAACAACCCAGACCGCCAGCUAAGGUCCCAAAGUCAUGGUUAAGUGGGAAACGAUGUGGGAAGGCCCAGACAGCCAGGAUGUUGGCUUAGAAGCAGCCAUCAUUUAAAGAAAGCGUAAUAGCUCACUGGUCGAGUCGGCCUGCGCGGAAGAUGUAACGGGGCUAAACCAUGCACCGAAGCUGCGGCAGCGACGCUGAUGCGUUGUUGGGUAGGGGAGCGUUCUGUAAGCCUGUGAAGGUGGCCUGUGAGGGUUGCUGGAGGUAUCAGAAGUGCGAAUGCUGACAUAAGUAACGAUAAAGCGGGUGAAAAGCCCGCUCGCCGGAAGACCAAGGGUUCCUGUCCAACGUUAAUCGGGGCAGGGUGAGUCGACCCCUAAGGCGAGGCCGAAAGGCGUAGUCGAUGGGAAACGGGUUAAUAUUCCCGUACUUGGUGUUACUGCGAAGGGGGGACGGAGAAGGCUAUGUUGGCCGGGCGACGGUUGUCCCGGUUUAAGCGUGUAGGUGUGUGUUCCAGGUAAAUCCGGUUCACUUUAACACUGAGGCGUGAUGACGAGGCACUACGGUGCUGAAGCAACAAAUGCCCUGCUUCCAGGAAAAGCCUCUAAGCAUCAGGUAACAUCAAAUCGUACCCCAAACCGACACAGGUGGUCAGGUAGAGAAUACCAAGGCGCUUGAGAGAACUCGGGUGAAGGAACUAGGCAAAAUGGUGCCGUAACU